GGCCUCCCUCUUUGGGGCGAUCGAUCAUAGGGCUCCGCGAUUGAUCGCCACAGAGAGGGAGGCC
rnacentral:pre_miRNA from 1 species